rnacentral:lncRNA from 10 species
AGUCCUGCAGGGCGGGGCAAACUUGGAGAGGCGCUGCGUCGGGGGACGGGGCUACAAGCCGUCGCUGGGGGCGGGGCUUGCGGCCCACCUGUAGGUCCCGGUGCCACCUCGUCAGUGUCCCGAGAGAUCCCCAGAAGAACGAGAGGGCUGAACAGGGGACCCCACUGACGUCCGGUGGGCCGACUUUACGAUCCUUUAGGGUAAAAAUUUCAUCUAGGAAGACCUAGAGAUAACAAUAAACGAUUAUAGUUUAACUUAGGAUGGUAAUAUAUCUCAACUACGACGAAGUCCAGCACAUAGUAAUCGCUAUGUGUUUACUAUGAUGAUUUUUAUUAUCUUCAUCUAACAACAACAACAACAAAAAGGCCAGAGGCAUCUGUGCAAAGCUCGAUAAUGCUAAUGGAUUAUGUUUAUUAAGUAUUCACUGUGUAUUUGGUUUUGCGUUUUAUUAUACCUACGUUCUUUCAUUUGUUAUCAAGGUCUCUAUGAAGUCAGAGCUAUUACUAUCAGCAUUUUACCCAUGAAGAAACCGAGGUUUAGAGAGAUUCUUUUCCAGGAACUGGAUAGCCAGCAAGAUGUGAAGCAGGGUAAUCUGUCUCCUGAGUCUAUGCUCUUCAGUGCCACCACUGUUUCCCAAAGUAGGAUUUUAGAAUUUUAGAGGAUGCACAGAGCUCGCUCAUUCAUGUUCCAUCACAUAGUGAGAAAGUUUUGUUUUCUUUUGUUUUGUUUUUCAAUCCUGAUUGCACCAAUGAGAAAGUCUCAGUUUGGUGCUAAUACAUCUUUAAUUAAAAAAAAAAAAAAGUAGAGAUGAGGUCUCACUAUAUUGCCCACUCCAGUCUCGAACUUCUGGCCUCAAGGAGUCCUGUCUCCCCCUCCCAAAGUACUGGGAUUAUAGGCAUGAGCAAAUUCACUUGGCCUCAGUUUGAUCCUAAUAUAUCUUUAAUUCCUCUCUACACUUAUCUCCCACUUUUAACAGAAAAGAUCUUGAGUUAGAAGCUCUUAGCAGAGAACUGAGUCUAGAGUGAUUUCAUUAUAUGGUUCAUAGUAUUGAUUUUCUAUCCAUACUGGUUUUCUAUUCUGUACUAUACUGAGAUAAAGUUUUUCAUUUAGGUCAAAAAUAAUUUAAAUAUUAAGUAAAUGUUAAUAUAAGCAGUGCACAGAAUUGGCUCUGUGCUGUGCAUGGGCUCUGUGAUCUGGGCAAGUUCCCUCACCUCUCUGUGCCUCAGUUUCCUCACCUGCCAAAUGGGGGCAGUAAUGAUGCCAUGUGUGUUGUAAAGUUACUGGGAGGAGUAAAUGAACUAAAACGUGUAAAGCAUCUACAAGCAGGCCCAGCACACAGGCAGCACCAAGUGAGGAUUUGCUAGUGGUGUUUUUAUCUGAGAUGCCACCUCCUCUAAGAAGCCUUCCCUUGAUCCUUGCUGACUCGUUGUUAUUCCUCAUGCCAGGUCCAAAGUGUACUGACAGGUUUCCCCUUUGACCUUCCUAUGACUCCCCUUAGGGCCUAGGCUUUGACCAGCCUUAUAGCCCAAGGGACUAUAUUGUACUCUCAAGAUUGGAGGCUGCCUCCUCAGGGGCCACCCUAGCCAGGCUCAUCACACAGCUGGCUCAGUGCUCUCCCUUGGCAACAACCUUAGGAUAAAAGACAUUUCCAGAGAAGUUGUCACACAGCAUGCAUGGUUUGAGUGCUUCACAAGAAAUAAUAUCACAAUUCCCUCUGAGUUGGUAAGGAAAUGAAAAAUGAAUGAAUGAAUGAAUGAUCCUUCACAAAACCUUCACAAUGUCCCAGUUGGGUGAACAGAAUAGGAAUUAUCUCCAGACCUCCUGGGUUCAAUUUUAGUUUCACCACUCACUAGCUGUGCCCUAGGGCAAGUUAUUUAAUCUCUGUGUGUGCCUCCGUCUUUCUCUUGUAAAACAGAGAUAAUAACAGGAUCUACCCUAGAGAGUUAUUUUAAGGAUGAGAUGGAUUAAUACAUGUAAAAUGCCUAGAACUGUGCCUGGCACACAGUAUGUAAAUAUCUGCAAUAAUAAUAACUUUCUAUUUUCUAGAUGAAGAAACUAAGACUCAGAGAAGACAAAUGACAUGCCCAAAGACACAUUGAUAAGAACGCAUCUGGUAGUGGUGUUCGAGUCCAGCGUUGCAGCAGAGAGAUGGGUAACUGUAUGGCCGAACAGCUGUCUUCUCGUGGAAGAAGGAGGCCAAUGUCCAGGAGUGGCAGGCAUACUGGAACUUGGACUUCUGUAGGCCAACCUGGGUUCCACUUGGUAGAUGGGGGUCUUGCUGUGUUGCCCAGGCUGGUCUCAAACUCCUGGCCUGAAGCAGUCCUCCUCCCUUAGCCUCCAGAGUAGCUGGGACUACAGGUACACACCACUGCAACCCCUCAGUGGUUGUUAUUUAACUGAAGGGGGUUUUAGCUUUCAUGUAUCAGCUCACUCUGGAGCCAGACAGCCUGGCCUUCAUGGCAGCUCUGCCCCUUACUACCUGUGUGACAUCGGGCAACGUUACUGAGUGUCAGAUUUCUUAUUUGUAAAACAGGGAUAAAAAUGACAUUGCUGUGCAAAUUAAAAGAAAGAAUCCAUGUGAGAUAUUUAGCA